GUCGGGUAAGUCCUACACGACCAGCUCCACCUAAAUCCCCCAGGUCUUGACCGAAGCAAGGGUAGGGCGUUGAGCGGUGCGAUGUAGUAAGCUUACCCU
rnacentral:SRP_RNA from 1 species